GGACGGGUGAGUAAUGCCUAGGAAAUUGCCCUGAUGUGGGGGAUAACCAUUGGAAACGAUGGCUAAUACCGCAUGAUGCCUACGGGCCAAAGAGGGGGACCUUCGGGCCUCUCGCGUCAGGAUAUGCCUAGGUGGGAUUAGCUAGUUGGUGAGGUAAGGGCUCACCAAGGCGACGAUCCCUAGCUGGUCUGAGAGGAUGAUCAGCCACACUGGAACUGAGACACGGUCCAGACUCCUACGGGAGGCAGCAGUGGGGAAUAUUGCACAAUGGGCGCAAGCCUGAUGCAGCCAUGCCGCGUGUGUGAAGAAGGCCUUCGGGUUGUAAAGCACUUUCAGUCGUGAGGAAGGUAGUGUAGUUAAUAGCUGCAUUAUUUGACGUUAGCGACAGAAGAAGCACCGGCUAACUCCGUGCCAGCAGCCGCGGUAAUACGGAGGGUGCGAGCGUUAAUCGGAAUUACUGGGCGUAAAGCGCAUGCAGGUGGUUUGUUAAGUCAGAUGUGAAAGCCCGGGGCUCAACCUCGGAAUAGCAUUUGAAACUGGCAGACUAGAGUACUGUAGAGGGGGGUAGAAUUUCAGGUGUAGCGGUGAAAUGCGUAGAGAUCUGAAGGAAUACCGGUGGCGAAGGCGGCCCCCUGGACAGAUACUGACACUCAGAUGCGAAAGCGUGGGGAGCAAACAGGAUUAGAUACCCUGGUAGUCCACGCCGUAAACGAUGUCUACUUGGAGGUUGUGGCCUUGAGCCGUGGCUUUCGGAGCUAACGCGUUAAGUAGACCGCCUGGGGAGUACGGUCGCAAGAUUAAAACUCAAAUGAAUUGACGGGGGCCCGCACAAGCGGUGGAGCAUGUGGUUUAAUUCGAUGCAACGCGAAGAACCUUACCUACUCUUGACAUCCAGAGAACUUUCCAGAGAUGGAUUGGUGCCUUCAAGGGAACUCUGAGACAGGUGCUGCAUGGCUGUCGUCAGCUCGUGUUGUGAAAUGUUGGGUUAAGUCCCGCAACGAGCGCAACCCUUAUCCUUGUUUGCCAGCGAGUAAUGUCGGGAACUCCAGGGAGACUGCCGGUGAUAAACCGGAGGAAGGUGGGGACGACGUCAAGUCAUCAUGGCCCUUACGAGUAGGGCUACACACGUGCUACAAUGGCGCAUACAGAGGGCAGCCAACUUGCGAAAGUGAGCGAAUCCCAAAAAGUGCGUCGUAGUCCGGAUUGGAGUCUGCAACUCGACUCCAUGAAGUCGGAAUCGCUAGUAAUCGUGGAUCAGAAUGCCACGGUGAAUACGUUCCCGGGCCUUGU
rnacentral:rRNA from 1 species